rnacentral:misc_RNA from 1 species
UCGCGGCUUAUCACCGGCAGUCUCCUUAGAGUGCUCAACUAAAUGGUAGCAACUAAGGACGGGGGUUGCGCUCGUUGCGGGACUUAACCCAACAUCUCACGACACGAGCUGACGACAGCCAUGCAGCACCUGUGUGAUGGUUCUCUUUCGAGCACUCCCAAAUCUCUUCAGGAUUCCAUCCAUGUCAAGGGUAGGUAAGGUUUUUCGCGUUGCAUCGAAUUAAUCCACAUCAUCCACCGCUUGUGCGGGUCCCCGUCAAUUCCUUUGAGUUUUAAUCUUGCGACCGUACUCCCCAGGCGGUCUACUUCACGCGUUAGCUGCGUUACCAAGUCAAUUAAGACCCGACAACUAGUAGACAUCGUUUAGGGCGUGGACUAC